CCCCUUGUUCUAUUUUUAGCCGUAGCAGCCAUCUUGGUUGGUUAGCCCGGUCACAAAACACUAUUUUUAAACUAAAUAGCCUAAUAAUGAUUCUGGCUAUAUUUGGUAAAAUUUGGCCCAGUUGUUUCAGUGGAGAAGAUUUUUGUAAAAGUUAACUAAGAUUAAGGAAAAAUGGUUAAAAAUGGACUAUAAAGGGCAAUAACUCCUAAGUGGUCAACUGACAUUGGUUGAAUUGAUUAUUUGUAAUCUUACUUUGCUGAACAUUUUUGCUGUUUACAGUUUAUCUCUAUCCAUAAUAAUAUUCACGAUAAUAUCCAAAAACAGUAAAAUUUCCUUAAAAUUACAAAUUCAGGGGCAGCAACCCAACAACCGGUUGUCCCAUUCAUCUUAAAAUUUCAGGGCAGAUAGAUCUUGACCAAAUAAACAAUUUUACCCCUUGUCAGAUUUGCUCUAAAUGCUUUGGUUUUUGAGUAAUAACCAAAAACUGCAUUUAACCUCCAUGUUCUAUUUUUAGCCAUGGCGGCCAUCUUGGUUGGUUGGCCGGGUCAAAAAACACAAUUUUUAAACUAGAUACAUCAAUGAUGAUUGUGGCCAAGUUUGGAUUAAUUUGGCCUGGUAGUUUCAGAGGAGAAGAUUUUUGUAAAAGAUCAUGGAGAUUUACAAAAAAUGGUUAAAAAUUGACUAUAAAGGGCAAUUACUCCUAAAGGGGUCAACUGACCAAUUUGGUCAUGUUGACUUAUUUGUAAAUCUUACUUUGCUGAACAUUAUUGCUGUUUACAGUUUAUCUCCAUCUAUAAUAAUAU
rnacentral:lncRNA from 1 species